GAUUGUCGGUUGAGUUUGGGGAAUCUGGCUUGCGAAUUGGUUGGAGUGGUGAAGAUGACGAACAUUAUGAUGGUGAAUCUUUGGGGUUUGGAGUUUGAACCACCACCACCACCACCAACACGGUCACCUCAACCAAUCCCAGCCAUCGUUCGCAUAGACAACAAAAUCGUGGCCGUCGAGGUGGAAUUUAUCUACACGGUCAGUGUUAGGGUAAUUAUUGAAUCUGCUGCUGGUUCAGUGUUGGGUGAUAUUUUUCAGUUCCAAAAGAACAGGCCCAUUAGCAAGAGGAAGACUUUUGGGUAAGUCAUAUGCUUAGAACUCUCAAAUUUUAUUUACCCCCUAUUUUGAGUGCCAUUUUGAUUUUUCUUUUUGUGUCAAUUCCAGAAAUCAUAAAAUUUAAAUUGAGUUUUAAGAUUAACAAAAUUUGUACAACUUGUAUAAGUAGUAGUUUAUAAUAUUCACAAUUGUAUGGGUUGAAAUAAAAUAAAUCCACUUUUAGUUUUAGGAUUUCUGACCUCUAAACAAGUCAAAUUUGACUCUUUGUUUGGAACUGAGGGAGUAUUUGUUAAUGGGCAUGUGUCAUAUACUGAAAUCAUGGUGUUUUAUUACUUGAAUUAGAUUUUUUUUUUAUGAUUAGAUGUUCUUGUUCUCAAGUCAUGCCUAAUAAUAUUGCUCUUUAUAUUUGAAUUGAAUUGGCUAGUUCAAGGUUUUAUUUUCUAAUAAGUUUGAAUUGAAUUGGUUAAUUUGUUACGACUAUAUUGAUUCUGUUCUGUUGUUAUGAUUGAUAGUAUUACUUUUGAGCUUGAACUAAGUUGGAUUUUGUAUGAUUUUAGUUUCUUUAUGUUUUCCUAACUUUGUAGAUCGGUAAUGGUUUUAGUUUGUUUCUGUGUUUCUGUGUUAAUAGGCAUGUCUUAUUUGCUUAAUAACAAUUUGUCUAAAUUAAUUCAGUGCAACUACAGAAGGUAAAGUUACUAAAGGUUACACAGUUUUAAGAUCUACACAAUGUUUAGAAAUUCAUGGGGACUCCUGUUGAAAACGUAUGAUGGGCAGUAUUAAAUUACUAAACCAUUCCAAUCCAACUAAUCAUAUGCCUAAAGUGUGUUCGUUUAUCACCCUUUAAUAUUUUUCUUUUUCUUAUGAUCAGAGCAUAUAUAUUAUUUCUCAGUUAUGUAGGUUUGCUAUUUUUGCCCAUCCAACUUGAUGUUAUCAUUUGUUAUCCAUUGGAUCACAGUUAAAACAUCAUAGGUUGCCUCAAAUUGACUGAUAUGUGGCACUUUGCGCUUCAUUGCAAUAAGCAUUCAGUCACAUGCAAACUCAUUCCUUCUAAACUGGUCUUCUUCUAACCUUAGCGACAUAUGGUCAACAAGUAACCAAUUUUUGGGAGAAAACUUAAUGUAUUAUAUUCCAUUUUAAUGCCAAGAAAUGUUUUCUUUGUCACAUGGUGUUGUUUUCUUUUGAGUACUCAAAAGUUACUUCCAAGAUAUCAAAGUUAAAUUUACAAACUUAAAACUUAUAGAAGUUGACAAGGAAAUAUUUUUUGUAGUUUGUGUACCAUGUUUGUCUGACAUGUCAAAAAAUGUUUUGUUGAAAUACUAAUGAUCUUGUUUAACUGAAUAAAUAAUAAUAUUUUUAGUAAUUUUCACUUAAUUUUCCUUAUUGAAAAAGGAUAGUGAGUCAUGUAGGUUGAUCCAUGUUUGUCAGCAUUAAUUCAGUGACAUUGCUUAGUUUAGAAUCUGAUCACUCUUUCUGCGGCAACAGAAGGCCUAAACGUGUGACCAAGUGUGUAUGGUCACAAGACUGACACUCAAAGAGUAAUUGUUGGACCCUGCACAGGCAGUAUGUUGUUGUUCCUUUAUAACUACAGACGACUUGAAAGUCUUAAUGAGUUCCACUUUCUAGGGGUGAAAAUGUUGUAACCUCUGUUGCAUAAAUAUAGUUACUAGAAACUAAUUCACUCAUUCCUAAUUCAAGUCAUAUAGGUGAAGCUGAACCCCAUGCGAGCACCGCUGACCAAGGAGGACACACAUAUUUUGGUUAUUGCAAGUGCAAAUAAUUUCAUUUAGUGCGGGACAGGUUCACACUUAACAGUGUGCUUUGACCUCUUACCAAUUUAAGUCAUGUUAAAGAGGUUCAU
rnacentral:lncRNA from 1 species